CUCCAAAGAGAUCAAGAUCAAAUCUGGUGAAAGGCGAGGAGGGGAGCGCGUGUGUUUGGGGUGGGGAACAAUGAAAUCUUCCUAAAUCGUGCCAAAUCGUCGCAUUGAACUCGACUUGCGCGACGCGGGGCCCUGAGCGCGUCCCCGAGGUCCGAUUGGAGAGAGAGAGAGAGAGAGAGAGAGAGAGAGAGAGUGCGCACGGGAGCGCGCCUGUGAGCGGCAUUUUAAGUAGAAGGGAGAGAGAGAGAGAGGAGAAGGGAGGGAAAGGAGGAGGAGAGGGAGAGGAGGGUUAUUAUUCAAGAGUGCUGCAGUCAGACGGGCUGCAAGAGGAGGAGAAAAAAAAGGAGAAGGAGGUGGGAGAUCAGUCAAUCGGAGGCUUAUGCGCUUCACAUCUUUCCUCUUUUCUGUGUGUUUUGCAGGAGAGGACGGAUCGGAGGAGGAGAGGAGGAGAUGGAUGGAGCGGUUGGAGAGGAGGAGAUGAGCGCCCUAAGGUACGGCUACACCUCUGCUUCUACAAUCAUUUAUCUCCAAAAGUAUCGUGUAAGCUUCUUAAAAAGCGAACCGUCUCCUUUUCUGUGGGAAUAUUUCUUUAUUCAUUCACGUGCGAUGGGCUGAGUUUUCAGUGGCCGCGUGGCGCGGCGCGCCCGCCGCUCCCGUGACACCCAUGAGGAGGAGGAGGAGGAGGGGGAGGAGGAAGAGGGGGAGUCGCACCUGAAACCCGACAGUGUUCGGCCUCACCGGAAGCGUCACCUCUGGUUUCCUCUUGCAACAGGACAGCCCGAGAUAAAAAGGAAAGAGGGGAGAUAACACGCUACAAAGGACCACAGGCUGGAGUCGAACCCACGUCACUGCAGCAAGGACUUAACCUUUGUACACGGGGGGCACAUGUUGAGCUACCUGGGGCUCCGCCUGCCAAGAAAUAUUAAUAACUCUUGAUGUAAAUAAUUCUUCACAUAGAAGAUGUAUUCAUUAGAACUCAAAGACACACAGUCUGACUGAUACUCAUCCUCUUUUGUUGAUUCCAAACGAUAUGACUGCAAAGACUCUUUUAUCUGUCAGUAGUACUUUAUUUUGAACACAUUCAUAGCGUACCUCAUGUAGUAAUUAGUAAAUAUUAAUAUGCAGUGCCAAAGAGCAAAUUAAUUAUACAGGGGAAACGUUAUAAUCAGCACAUUUUCCUAUGAAGUUUGGUACGUCACAGUCCUUAUUAUGCAUAAUUAUGCUGCUUUGUGCAAGUUAUGUGUUAAUAGUUCUAAACAGAAACAUUCCAACUCAAGCAGAUGUUGAGUUUGAAUAAUUUUCCCCCUAAAAAAAACACUGAGCCUUCUACUACGUCCAGUGCACAAUCACAACACUGCAUCACACCAAAGAAACAGUUCAGUAUUUGCAGCGCGUUGUGUCGGAGAGCUUCACAAAAAGCCAACCAAAGCUCCACUGUACCGUACGAUGUUUAAUGUGAUUCAUUGAACUGCAGGUUAUCUUGAUAAUGACAUUCCUGUUCUGGAAAGUGCCUAAUUGAACGUCGUGUAUCAUCUUCGACCAUGAUAAUUUCACGUUUGACGGACAUGCCGUGACAGCCGAUCUAUCGUACGGGACGGUGCACGACGUCUGAAGAGUGAAUCGUAAAUGCAUUUAUGAUGCUUUUAGAAAAAAAAAAAUAAAACAUCCACAAAGCCAGCUGGCAAUCAAGGCUCCUUCAAACUGUAAGUUAUCAUGUUUUGAUGGAACAUUCAGUCUCAAUUACGUCUCGUCCGGCUGAAUCCAGCAGCUCCAUCUCGCUCGAUUGAUUGAUUCGGGGUAAUGUAUGCAGACUGGGGUGUGGUUGUGUUCUCAUGAGUGUCUUCAGAAGAAAGCCCGGACACCUGCAUUAAAAGAGCAAAAUUAAAGCAUUCCCCCCACAGCAUGUGUAGAUUAAUACAUGGGGCUAUGAGAGUGUGUGUGUGUGUGUGUGUGUGUAUGUACGAGCGUGCUGAUAUUUGACAGGCUUGGAUAUGUUCCUACACUGGCUGUGAGUGGCCUGAGGGAAGCAGGCCUACUAGAGAAUGAGCCAGACAGUUGGCAAGGCCUCUGCUUCCGUCUCAGCUGUCAUUGGUAGUCUGGCCAUGUGGCUGAGACACUGCUUCCUGUGUCCAAACACUGGGGGGAAAAGAAAACCUGAAUGUCGUGUGCUCUAAUCCCAUUUGUUGGAUUAAAAUAAAGCUUUUUAAUAUGUUUAAAAAGGGAGUUCGUGUGUCGCAUCCCCUCAUUUGCUCUUUGUUUUUGUCCCUUACAGUCACUGUGAAUGCUGGGAAUGUCUCCUGUGCUGAAAAGUUUAGUGUUUGGUGUGUUGCCCCCAUCUGGACGGAAAAGCAACUGCGCCUCAUUUCAUGGAGACAGGUAGGUGAACGCUGCUCAGGUGAGGCUUCUUCAUUCCAGUUCAUUUUUUUUUUUCAUUAGUUGCGUGGCACGUCGCCACGUUCCCUGAUCAAUGGCUUUUUGGAUCACACACACCUGUUGUCCUGCUGAAGCUGUUUGCCAGCAAUGAAAGAAAAAGUGAUAUUGAUGCAAAUCUGAUCCAGCCAAGAAAGCCAAAUUAUUUCUCUUUUACGGAAACAAAUGAAAAGUCAAUUAUUUCACAAUGAGUCUGUGAAAGUUGAGGUGUUUCUUUUCUUUCGUUCAAAUUCUAUUUAGUGGGGUAAAUGAUUUAAGUCAGGACCACAAGUUUAUUGUUUCAUCCGGUUGAGAGGAAAGAGAAGAUGAUGCAAAUGUUGCUUAUAAUGCAUUGUGUUUUGACCUGGGUUUUGUCCCACAGGCUACAACCAGCCCUAACCUGAUAGGUGAAGGAUCUGCCUAAAGCCCAAAACAAAGACUGCAGACACAUGGC